rnacentral:rRNA from 1 species
ACCUGAGAGAAUGAUCGGCCACACUGGGACUGAGACACGGCCCAGACUCCUACGGGAGGCAGCAGUAGGGAAUCUUCCGCAAUGGACGAAAGUCUGACGGAGCAACGCCGCGUGAGUGAUGAAGGCUUUCGGGUCGUAAAACUCUGUUGUUAGGGAAGAACAAGUGCUAGUUGAAUAAGCUGGCACCUUGACGGUACCUAACCAGAAAGCCACGGCUAACUACGUGCCAGCAGCCGCGGUAAUACGUAGGUGGCAAGCGUUAUCCGGAAUUAUUGGGCGUAAAGCGCGCGCAGGUGGUUUCUUAAGUCUGAUGUGAAAGCCCACGGCUCAACCGUGGAGGGUCAUUGGAAACUGGGAGACUUGAGUGCAGAAGAGGAAAGUGGAGCCCCAUGUGUAGCGGUGAAAUGCGUAGAGAUAUGGAGGAACACCAGUGGCGAAGG